ensembl:lncRNA
GUAUUUAGAAGCAAAUUAAAAUUACAUUUCUGAUAAAUAUUUAUUUAAGAUUUGCUUUACUAUUUAUUUCAAAAAAGGUCUACACAUUAAAAGAAAGCAAAGCAUUAGGGUAAUAGGGAAAAGACAUCUGAAUGAUCUUCAGACGUAUGUGGCUGUGAAACAAUAGCUGCAUCCAUCUUGGGGUGACUGUGGCUCAGGGGAUUUGGAAGCUCAUCUGUAACUGGAAGGUUGCUGGUUCAGGCUGCUCUCUCUGUCCUGGUCGUUGUGUCCUUGGGCAAGACACCUUACCCUACUGGUGAUAGCCAGAGGGGCCGAUGGCACGAUAUGGCAGCCUCGCUUCUGUCAGUCUUCCCCCAGGGCAGCUGUGGCUACAACUGUAGCUGCCUCCACCAGUGUGUGAAUGUGAGAGUGAAUGAAUAGUGGCAUUGGAAAGCGCUUUGGGUGCCUAGAAAAGCGCUAUAUAAAUGCACUCCAUUAUUAUUAAAACAUGAUAAUAAUAACUAGAAAGUGCAUUUUCUGAAGAAACUGCAGUGUGAAUGCUUGAAUCUGAAUGUAUGCACUGAAAUGAAUUAAUUGCUGAAUUUUGAGUUAAAAAUAUUGAAUGAGAUUAAAAAAAAACAAAAAAAACCCCCGAAUUUAACCUGAAAACAAAGGUGCUGAACUGCUAAAAGCUGAAGGUUACACAGAAGAAGAAGUUGGAAAAAAGCUGAAAAUGUUUUAAUUGUAAAUUAGAAAAACCUAAGAAAUGAGAAAAGAACAUUUAGAGUCAGAAAACAUCUGAAAGAAUAUUAAAAGUUCAUAUUCUUUGAAUCACUGAAUGACUAAAAUGUGAUCCCUCCACUUGGACCCACACAGUUUAAAAAGUUUACAUCUCUGAGCUUUGAAAGACAAGAUGUUGGAAAAAGAACAACGAUGGCGACGUUUUGAGGGUAAAAUGAUGGCUUUAACACUGUGGACACAGCAGCAGUUGAAAGAGAAGUGUUUAAGAUGAAUUUUGGCAGAGUGGCAGAGAGAGCUCGUUAAGCAGGCAGGUGUGAGCCUGGUUGCUAUAGUGACCGCACCCAAUGGCUCCAUACACACGUACACAGACAUGCGCCUCACUUUUGCUGCUUAAAAUGAACAGAAAAGUCAGGCCCAAACAAAUUCUUCCCAAAUGAAAAGUACAUGUCGUAUUGACAAAAUUCUUUCACCGUGAGCGACAGCCAUGUCUAGUCUACCUAAUUCUCAGUUUUCAUGCCUGUGGAGUUUAUUAUAUGGACGUGGUGACAGUGUA